rnacentral:rRNA from 3 species
UGGGGAAUAUUGCACAAUGGGGGAAACCCUGAUGCAGCGACGCCGCGUGAGCGAAGAAGUAUUUCGGUAUGUAAAGCUCUAUCAGCAGGGAAGAAAAUGACGGUACCUGACUAAGAAGCACCGGCUAAAUACGUGCCAGCAGCCGCGGUAAUACGUAUGGUGCAAGCGUUAUCCGGAUUUACUGGGUGUAAAGGGAGCGUAGACGGCUGUGUAAGUCUGAAGUGAAAGCCCGGGGCUCAACCCCGGGACUGCUUUGGAAACUAUGCAGCUAGAGUGUCGGAGAGGUAAGUGGAAUUCCCAGUGUAGCGGUGAAAUGCGUAGAUAUUGGGAGGAACACCAGUGGCGAAGGCGGCUUACUGGACGAUGACUGACGUUGAGGCUCGAAAGCGUGGGGAGCAAACAGG